AAUGUACCUCCCAUGGCAUCAGUAGAUCAAACCCAAUUCAGCACGCCUUUAGUAAGCAAGAUUGGACCCCGAUUACCAGCACCAGGGAACCAUGAAGGGAUCAGACUGGGCUGUGUGCCACAUUCUUUGCCUGGAACUACGACGGCGACAAACUACAGAUACCACUAAACAAGGACACGCUAUCAUUGCACAGCAGCUUGAUGAUAUAUGAACUAAUGAGGAUGCAAGGGAACCAAACUUCAGUGGCUAACGACGCCCUCGAAGCUGUCAAAGCGUCAUUCACAGCCCUAUAAAAUAGCACA